UACGGGGGGGGCUAGCGUUGCUCGGAAUUACUGGGCGUAAAGGGCGCGUAGGCGGCCUACUAAGUCGGACGUGAAAUCCCUCGGCUCAACCGGGGAACUGCGUCCGAUACUGGUGGGCUCGAAUCCGGGAGAGGGAUGUGGAAUUCCAGGUGUAGCGGUGAAAUGCGUAGAUAUCUGGAGGAACACCGGUGGCGAAGGCGGCAUCCUGGACCGGUAUUGACGCUGAUGCGCGAAAGCCAGGGGAGCAAACGGG
rnacentral:rRNA from 1 species